ACGAUAUAGUGGCAGACGGGUGAGUAACGCGUGGGAACAUGCCUUUCACUAAGGAAUAGCUUUUGGAAACGAAAGGUAAUACCUUAUACGCCCUUAGGGGGAAAGAUUUAUCGGUGAAAGAUUGGUCCGCGUUAGAUUAGCUAGUUGGUAAGGUAAGAGCUUACCAAGGCUACGAUCUAUAGCUGGUCUGAGAGGACGACCAGCCACACUGGGACUGAGACACGGCCCAGACUCCUACGGGAGGCAGCAGUGGGGAAUAUUGCACAAUGGGCGAAAGCCUGAUGCAGCCAUGCCGCGUGAAUGAUGAAGGCCUUAGGGUUGUAAAAUUCUUUCGCUAGGGAUGAUAAUGACAGUACCUAGUAAAGAAGCCCCGGCUAACUUCGUGCCAGCAGCCGCGGUAAUACGAAGGGGGCUAGCGUUGUUCGGAAUUACUGGGCGUAAAGCGCACGUAGGCGGAUUAUUAAGUCAGAUGUGAAAUCCCAAGGCUCAACCUUGGAACUGCAUUUGAAACUGGUAAUCUAGAGAUCAGGAGAGGUUAGUGGAAUACCGAGUGUAGAGGUGAAAUUCGUAGAUAUUCGGUGGAACACCAGUGGCGAAGGCGACUAACUGGACUGAUACUGACGCUGAGGUGCGAAAGUGUGGGGAGCAAACAGGAUUAGAUACCCUGGUAGUCCACACCGUAAACGAUGAGAGCUAGUUGUCUGCAGGCAUGCCUGUAGGUGACGCAGCUAACGCAUUAAGCUCUCCGCCUGGGGAGUACGGCCGCAAGGUUAANACUCAAAGAAAUUGACGGGGGCCCGCACAAGCGGUGGAGCAUGUGGUUUAA
rnacentral:rRNA from 1 species